UGAAGCAAAUAACUAGACUGUUU
rnacentral:piRNA from 1 species